CCAGACUCCUACGGGAGGCAGCAGUGAGGAAUAUUGGUCAAUGGUCGGGAGACUGAACCAGCCAAGUCGCGUGAGGGAAGAAGGCCCUGCGGGUCGCAGACCUCUUUGGACGGGGAGCAAGGCCGCCGACGUGUCGGCGGAAGGAGAGUACCCGUAGAACAAGCAUCGGCUAACUCCGUGCCAGCAGCCGCGGUAAUACGGAGGAUGCGAGCGUUAUCCGGAUUUAUUGGGUUUAAAGGGUGCGCAGGCGGCCCGGCAAGCCGGCGGUCAAAUCGCGGGGCUCAACCCCGCCCAGCCGUCGGAACUGCCGGGCUAGAGUGGGCGAGAAGUGCGCGGAAUGCGUGGUGUAGCGGUGAAAUGCAUAGAUAUCACGAAGAACUCCGAUUGCGAAGGCAGCUUACCAGUCUGCGACUGACGCUCAGGCACGAAAGUGUGGGUAUCGAACAGGAUUAGAUACCCCCGUAGUG
rnacentral:rRNA from 1 species